UCACUGUGAUGAUCGAUUUCCAACAUUCGCAGUUUCCACCAGAAAGUUGGCUGAUGUUGGUCGUUCUUCCUUGGGUGUCUGAGUGA
rnacentral:snoRNA from 1 species